UACGGAGGAUGCAAGCGUUAUCCGGAAUGAUUGGGCGUAAAGCGUCCGCAGGUGGCUGUGUAAGUCUGCUGUCAAAGAGCGAAGCUCAACUUCGUAAAGGCAGUGGAAACUACACGGCUAGAGUGCGUUCGGGGCAGAGGGAAUUCCUGGUGUAGCGGUGAAAUGCGUAGAGAUCAGGAAGAACACCGGUGGCGAAGGCGCUCUGCUAGGCCGCAACUGACACUGAGGGACGAAAGCUAGAGGAGCGAAUGGG
rnacentral:rRNA from 1 species